CAAAAAUAAAAAAAGAGAGAAGGUUAGCACCUACCUUUCUAAGGAUGUAAAUGGACCUAGUUACCUUUUUAGUGCAUACAAAGUUAAAGCAUUGCUACAUAUUCUGUGGCAUCUAACCAUGCUUUUCA